CAGUAGUGCGACCGCCGUGGCUGCUAGCCGACAUCCUCUCUGCCGCUGCAGUCGUAAGCGCCGCCCAAGCCUCCUCCGCGCAACAGCUGCACCCUUGGACCCAUCCCCUGCAUCGCCCCUUGCUGUCCAGCCCUGUUGCCACCCCUGCCACACCCUGCUCCUCCCCUGCCGAUGCAAGUUUUUGUCACGGGCGAGCUUAUCUUCGGACGCCACGAACCGACUCCCUCCAACCUAUAAAAGCCCCUCCCGAGCUCACCUAGUCACCCACGCCAUCCUCGGAAUCCCCCCUACCGAAGAAAUCGGGCCCGUGUGCCCAAUUUCAUCGCCGUCGGUGGCCACUGCCAUGAGGAGCUCUGGUCAAAUCCGCCGCAGCUAGUUCCUCCCGACGCCAAGCUUCUCCUCGUUUAGCCCCCUGGUGGCGAGAGGGAUCUUUUCCCCAUAGCCAUGAGUACCGGAGACUUCGGGCUACAGGGACCUCUAGAAGGCCGACGCCGCCAUCCGUCGGAGCCCGCGUCACCGGCGAUUCCCUCCAUACCCGUGCGUGUGGAGUUCCGGGAGAAUCGCCAGGACCCCCUGAAUCCAUUCCCGUGCCUCUGCGUGCAAGAUCUAUAGCCAGUUGCCGGCGAGGAUCCUUGGAGUGCCGCCCUGGUUCAACCACGGGAGGUAGGGGCAAACCCGACAAGUGGCCCCCACCUGUCGAUGUUUGCGAGUACAUUCAAAGUACGAACUGGCUUGUCCCUGGCUAUUGUCUUCGCCAGAUUUCAUUGGAGAGGAGCACGAUGUCAUCAACCCCGCGAAUCUAUGAGUCGAGGAUAGCAGCCUUGUGAGAUAGGAACUUAUCCAGGUCAACUAUUCCUGUGGAAAUGGAGUUCAUGGGCACUGGAGAUUCCUCGAGUCGCUUCCGCCGUCAGCCUCAAACUUGGUUCAAACCAGUGGACCUUUAUAGUCUUGUCACCCAAACUUUGUAUUUUUUUCUUGGUAUUUAUGUAUCAAGUGAGUGUCCACUAGCUAACAGAUUCCUGGGGCUAGUGAACAUAAGGGCCUGUUUUCUGGAAAUUGUUUUCCGAAAAAGCAGUCGCCACAACCUUGGUAUCACAGCCAAACUGACCAUUGGUUAAACCUAUC